rnacentral:rRNA from 1 species
AUUGAACGCUGGCGGCAUGCUUUACACAUGCAAGUCGGACGGCAGCGCGGGCUUCGGCCUGGCGGCGAGUGGCGAACGGGUGAGUAAUACAUCGGAACGUGCCCAGUAGUGGGGGAUAGCUCGGCGAAAGCCGGAUUAAUACCGCAUACGACCUGAGGGUGAAAGCGGGGGAUCUUCGGACCUCGCGCUAUUUGAGCGGCCGAUGGCAGAUUAGCUAGUUGGUGGGGUAAAGGCCUACCAAGGCGACGAUCUGUAGCUGGUCUGAGAGGACGACCAGCCACACUGGGACUGAGACACGGCCCAGACUCCUACGGGAGGCAGCAGUGGGGAAUUUUGGACAAUGGGCGAAAGCCUGAUCCAGCAAUGCCGCGUGUGUGAUGAAGGCCUUCGGGUUGUAAAGCACUUUUGGCGGGAACGAAAAGGACUGUGCCAAUACCACGGUUCGAUGACGGUACCCGCAGAAUAAGCACCGGCUAACUACGUG